rnacentral:pre_miRNA from 1 species
UAUUUUACUACCUCCAUUCCUAUUUAUAAGAUGUUUUGGGUUUUCUAGAUAUAUAUCUCUUGCUAUGUACUUGGAUAUAUACAUUACGUCUAGAAACAUAGUAAAACCAGUGUGUAUCUAGAAAAGCUAAAACGUGUAUAAUUUGAAAUAGAGGGAGUACUAUA